CCACAUUUUUCCUGUCCAUUCUAUCAUCGAUGGGCAUUUGGGUUCAUUCCAGGUGUUUGCUAUUGUAAACAGUGCUGCAAUAAACAUUUGUGUGCAUGUGUCCUUAUAGUAAAACGAUUUAUAAUCCUUUGGAUAUAUACCCAGUAAUGGGAUUGCUGGGUCAAAUGAAAUUUCUAUUUCUAGGUCCUUGAGGAAUCGCCACACUGUCUUCCACAAUGGUUGAACUAAUUUACACUCCCACCAGCAGUGUAAAAGUGUUCCUAUUUCUCCUCAUCCUCUCCAGCAUCUGUUGUCUCCAGAUUUUUUAAUGAUCGCCAUUCUAAUUGGCAUGAAUUGGUGUUCCAGUCACCUGCUGAAAGGGCACCGGGAUCUGCGUGAUUUCCCAUGCGGUGACCCACUGCACCAGCUGAAACAACGGUGCUGCCCAGGAAUCUCCUGACCAGGUUAAAAGGGCAACCAGACCAGUGUAUUUUGUACAGAGAGCCAUCGCACUGCAGUGCCAGGAAAAUAGCCGUGCUGGCUAAAACAGCUGCGCUGACCAAAACAGACACGCUGGCAACCCGUAGGGCUCCUCUGCCUAGGAAUCUCCUGGUCUAUGGGCAAUAAAGAUCUGACUGGAAAUGCAGCGUCCACUCAUCCUCUGUACUUUCACUGGGAGCUGCAAUACUGAGCUGCUCCUAAAAGGGCCAUCUUGGAUCUCCCUCUUCUAAGUGAUCUUUUCUGACUACAUAAAAUAUACUCUGUAGAAUAAAAUAAAAUGAAAAUAAUUUACUCAUAAGAUUCAUAUUUAAAUCAUCUUUAUUUACAAAAUACUAGCCUGAGAUUUAUAAUUCCUUUAAGCUUGAAUUUUAGUGAAAGCCUAAGUAAAGUAAGUAACAGUCAUACAGUAACUGCAGUUACUUUAAAUUGAAAAUCAUAUCAGUCCGAAUUAUUUUUGAAGAGAGCAAAAAUAAUGUCAUGUUUUAUGCUGUGGUCCUGGAUGUUCAGUAGCAGCCUCUUUUGAAGGUGGACUCAACCCUGAAGGAACUCACUUCUGGAGUGGAGGUGGGAGGGAAAAUCCAGGUCUUGGGGAAGGUGAGGGGGAAAACUCCUCUAUGGGUACACGUUUCUCACUGUUCAAAGAGAUUGGUAAAAGACGUUUUGUAACUUUGAGAACCUGCACUGUGCCCUAAUAAAUAAUUAAGUUUAUAACUUCCAUUACCUAUUCUUUUAUUGGAAAAUUAACACCAUAAUUACUUGAUUUAACAAAUUAAGUUUUACAACAUUGAGAAAAGUGUACCUCUUCAAAUACAGAUGACUAAAGGAAAUAUCACUAAUUUUUAAUGUAAUUUUUAUCCUAACACCUGUUUUUAAAGAGAGGAAGUAUUUCAAAAUAUGUAAAACUUAUUGUAAAAAUAUUUUUU
rnacentral:lncRNA from 1 species